UUCCAUGGUUGACAUUACAGAUUUUCUCAGU
rnacentral:piRNA from 1 species